CAUCAGACCUGAGGACAGAAAGGUUGGGGCUGCAAGGAAUCCUACUGUGUGAGAGCCGUGACACAGUGAGUGGGAGUUUUGAUCUUGACCUCCUGGAGCAUUUUCAUGGAAAAGGCAGUUCCAGGAUUCUUUGUGGCCUCUUCCACAGGAGAAAGUAAAGGACCUAGAGGCCUCUAAAAAUUUAGUUAUUGAAGAACUGAAGUUAUUCACAGCAACCUGGCAGAGGAGAAUGUGAAAUACAUGGGUCUCAGGUAGUAGGUAAUAUCCCUAAUUCCAUGGUGAUGCUGAGAAGCAGAGGGCGCCCUCAGAAGUAGUUUCUCUUAAGGAAUUUGCAGCUGGCCUACAAGAACAGGACCACAGAAUCAGGAAUUGUGGUGUUUUAUAGGGUACGUAAAAAUUGUAUUUUUUGCACAUUUGUCUUGUAUUCUGAGUCAUACUCCUCUCAUUGUUUAUCCUUCACAAUAGCCUUUUUUAACAGCAUUAUGGAGAUAAAGUUGAGAUGGCAUAUAAUUCACCCAUUUAAAGUAUAAGAUUCAAUGGCUUUUAGUAUAUUCACAGAGUUGUACAAGUGUUACCACAAUCAACUAAAAAAU
rnacentral:antisense_RNA from 1 species